AAUACCAUUGGUUAACAAGAUUGAUGAGCAGUGUCCACCAUCCUUUCACUACAUACCUCAUAGCCUCACUUUCUCUAGUGCUUCUAUCAAUUUCUCCCUUUCUGAGAUCGGAAAUGAGAAUUGCUGUUCAAAUUGUUAUGGUGACUGCCUGCCUUCUCCAGUACCCUGUGCUUGUGCAUGUGCAAAUGGGGGUGUUUAUGACGCCUGAAGGAAAAGGGUGGGGUCUGCAAGCACUGGAUGAACUGCCUAAAGGUGCAUUUGUAUGUGCUCCUUGAUUCUGAUUGGAGCUCCAUGUGUGUGAAGGAUGAUGAAGCUCUUUGUUUGGAUUCAACGACCUUUGGAAACAUUGCUAGGUUUAUCAACCAUAGGUCAAAGUUCUCAACAAACUUGCUUCAGCUCGAGCUUCAGGAGCAGGUAGUAGCAGCAGAGUCUUGACAGAUUUGGUAGAGGGUCUAGAAGAAGCAGCUGUUGCUGUAGAAUUGAGGUUGAAGAUCAACCAGAGUCAUCCGGACUUAAAGGGAGGAUCUUUCUGAGACUAUGGAGAGGCAGUGUUGAAGCACUUGGAGAACUCUAUUGAUUUGGACCCAAAGCUUCAGAAAGCUCCAGUAAAUUAUGAAGGAGCCCGGGUAUCUGGGUUUGGAGGAUGGUUCCUUUUGAGGCUCUUGCUUUAUGAUCCUGUUCUUCCUCUUAACAUUGAGGCACCAACUCACGAUGACGCUGUAAAACUUGGACUUGCCGUGCUUGGGGCUAUUAAGGAGUUUGCAGCUUUGGAUACAUCCGCUUUAGACAAGUUUGUUCAAGUAUCAUGAGCUGAUGAUGCAGAGCGCUUUGGUACAAGUAUCUUUCGGCACAUUAUACUGGCAGUUAAAGUCGGCUUUUGCGUCUACCUCUGUACAGUACGUAUAAUCAGUGCGUCAAUCUCUGAUUCUGAGGAGGUCCAUUUUCCAUAUGGUUUUCGUCACUGGCACUCAAAAUACUACUUGAUGGCUAUGUUUACUUUAGUUUUUACUUAUGUUCCAUGUAUGCAACAGAGAUGUUCUGAUAAAUAAGAAACGUUCUUCGACUACAGAAUUUUUCGGAGGGAUGUUUGAA